rnacentral:rRNA from 1 species
GAUGAACGCUGGCGGCGUGCUUAACACAUGCAAGUCGAACGGAAAGGCUCCUGCUUGCAGGGGUACUCGAGUGGCGAACGGGUGAGUAACACGUGGGUGAUCUGCCCUGCACUUCGGGAUAAGCCUGGGAAACUGGGUCUAAUACCGGAUAGGACCGCAUUUUGGAUGGCGUGGUGGAAAGUUUUUCGGUGUGGGAUGAGCUCGCGGCCUAUCAGCUUGUUGGUGGGGUAAUGGCCUACCAAGGCGUCGACGGGUAGCCGGCCUGAGAGGGUGUACGGCCACAUUGGGACUGAGAUACGGCCCAGACUCCUACGGGAGGCAGCAGUGGGGAAUAUUGCACAAUGGGCGCAAGCCUGAUGCAGCGACGCCGCGUGGGGGAUGACGGCCUUCGGGUUGUAAACUCCUUUCGCUAGGGACGAAGCGCAAGUGACGGUACCUGGAGAAGAAGCACCGGCUAACUACGUG